CCUACGUGAGGCUGCAGUGGGGAAUAUUGCACAAUGGGGGAAACCCUGAUGCAGCGACGCCGCGUGAGUGAAGAAGUACUUCGUUAUGUAAAGCUCUAUCAGCAGGGAAGAAAAUGACGGUACCUGAGUAAGACGCCCCGGCUAACUACGUGCCAGCAGCCGCGGUAAUACGUAGGGGGCAAGCGUUAUCCGGAUUUACUGGGUGUAAAGGGAGCGUAGACGGCAGUGCAAGUCUGGAGUGAAAGGCGGGGGCUCAACCCCCGGACUGCUCUGGAAACUGUACGGCUGGAGUGCAGGAGAGGUAAGUGGAAUUCCUAGUGUAGCGGUGAAAUGCGUAGAUAGUAGGAGGAACACCAGUGGCGAAGGCGGCUUACUGGACUGUAACUGACGUUGAGGCUCGAAAGCGUGGGGAGCAAACAGGAUUAGAUACCCGUGUAGUC
rnacentral:rRNA from 1 species